rnacentral:rRNA from 1 species
AACGAGACCUUAACCUGCUAACUAGCCCGUAUUGCUUUGGCAGUACGCUGGCUUCUUAGAGGGACUAUCGGCUCAAGCCGAUGGAAGUUUGAGGCAAUAACAGGUUAACCUUUUCACAGGCCUGUAACAGUGGACCUCUUGAAAUAUUCUGCUAGUCCAACGACUUACCUCCGUAGGGGAAGCCCCCUAACUGUCGGGCGGAGGGGACCUGGAAACGGGUCUCGUCGUGGGCAACACUACCUGGAACAGGG